rnacentral:lncRNA from 1 species
CUGCGGGCCGCGGGCUGGGCCGGGGGCGGAUCAGGGGCAGCGGGGCGGCGAGGCUGCGGUCUCUGGACUAGGCGAGGGGCCGCCGGGGGCUGGAGGUCCGGAUCUUCAGUCGGGGCGCUGGGCACAACAGAGAGAAGCGGUGAGACACCACGAAGCGUUGCCCAGCUGGGCGCCAGGGCCGCCACGACCGCCCCUUUUCGGAGACUCGGCGAGGAGACCUGCCUGCGGGAGAGACCCCGGGGAGCAGGACCUUCCUCCUCAAAAGGUGCUGAAUAACUGAGUCCCUGCCCACCAAGGCCACCCGAAGCCAGGUGGGGCCAUGGCCAGGCAUGGCUGUCUAGGGCUGGGACUGUUCUGCUGCGUCCUGUUUGCUGCUACUGUGGGCCUCCAGCCCACCUCCUCCAUCCCAGGUGCCCCUGUCACCACUUUGACCCCCGCACCUCAAAGUGAGGCCUCUAUGCUGUCUCUCAACCUGGGACUUAACUUCAAAUUCCAUCUUCGGGGACCUGCUGCUGUCUGGGGGAGCCCAGUCACAGAGACCCA